CAUACCUAAGUGGUGACUUUGGGCUUAAAAUUGUGUUAACAUUGUGAAUGUUGGUUUUGAAUGACUUUACUACCUGUGGAUCAUUAUCAAAGUGACUAAUCCUUCUUAAGAGUGGAGCAUAUGCGUCAAGUUUUACUCAACAACAAUCUGAGAAUACUGUGAAACUGGAGAAAUGCCUUAAGCUCAUACAGCAACUUACAUGCAUUCUAAGGAAGAAGGUAAAACAAAAGAUGUUGUAUUUCCUGUACAUUAAAGUAUAAGUGGUGCCAAAGGAAUCCCCAGAACAGAAAGAGAAGGUAGAAUCUGUUAUUCCCAGAGAUCAUUCUUGAGAUCCACAGCUGAGCUACUGCAGCAUUAGCUGACCAGACAGCUCCUGACCAAGCCUCGGCUUCUAGCAGACAUUGAAUUAUCUCUCCUACUGAAGCAAUGUGAAUCAUAGCAAAGGACUCAUGGAGAAUGGAGAGCCAUGUAUCGUCAGCACAAUGAUAGCAUCUAGUUCAGCAUCUCACUUCUAAACUUCUCAGUGGUUUCCAUAACACUUUGAGUAGGAGGAAAGAAGAGGAGGCAAGGACUAGUCAUACAAUUAGAACCAGGAUAUUCAAGCCAGCUUGCAACAGUCAUAAAUUCUCACAAAUUGCUGACCCAACAGAGGGUUUUCAUCUAUGUGCAUGCGGAUGUCACAAAUAGCCAUUAUGCUCACUGAAACAAAGCUACAGAAAAAUCUGAAAACUUACCCAAAGAGAUGGAAAGGAAAAGAACUGAUGGUUUGCAGGAAUGCAAAAUAAGGGCACUGGCUACGGCAAUGUCCAGAGAACACGUGGCUUGCAGAAGCUGGAUGGCUUCAUUCUCCCUUGGAAUAACGACACCCAGGAUCUGCCCAGCUCCAGAGCCAUCACUAAGGAUGUGCUAUAUAUAACACAGGAUAUAAGGAUAUAUAUAUGUAUAUAACACAGAUAUAACAAAGGAUGUGUUAGAUACAUGUUUUAAGGGUCAGGCAACUAGGGCAAGUGUAAUUUUACCACUGCAUGUCCUCCAUGAACAGGUGUUUCUCAAAUCAGAGAACAACCCAAGUUGGAAGUAUGGUCCACAGGGACCACUGAGACAAACUCCUGUCUCCACUCAGGACCACCCUGAAGCCCUCAUUCAAACCUUAUGUCUGAGAGCAUUGUCCAAACACCCCUUCAGCUCCGGCAGCUUGGGGCCAUGAUCACUCCCCUGGGGAGCUUUUUCCAUGCCCGUAGUCCUCUGGAGAAGAACCUUUUUCCAGUGCAGCUCCAUGAACUCAUCUGAGUCCGUUGUACAGCCCAAUUAUUCAGGCCUCUGGUUGGGUAGCAGAAUUAUGUUUGGCCAAUGAGGCUGCCAAAUACUUCAAAAAACAACUGGCUACUAGGCAUUAUGUUGGUCCUGGUGUCACACAGAUGGCACUUCUUGGUUAGUUUCAGGGAAAAAGUGUCAGAGCAGGGAUCUGAGAAGACUUGAAGUACAAUUUUACCUUAGUCCUACAGAUACAGGGUACUGCCAAAGGUGUGAAAUUCUUAAAUAGAAAUAUCAAGAAUAUUACAAAGAAUAAUCUACAGGUGUGAUAGUAUAAUUUAAAAGAUCCCACUGAACCCUGGCUUUCAGCUAUUACUCUGACAUGUACAUAUAAAGACUCUCAAUUUCCCCCAGUUUUUUCACCACUCAUAAUUUUCUAUACAUUACACAAUAAUUCCCAUUUAUACACUAAUUCUCUUUCUCCUUUCAUCUGUUAACCGUCAGGUUCCCAAAUGCCUACAGUACAUGUGUUGCCUCUGCCUUCAGUGUUUUUCCAUCCUCUUCCACUCCUUCAUUGCUCAUCUUCAUUCUCAAACAAAUCCAGGACAGGUAGCUGUGUGCAGCACUCAGAUUAGCUAGCCUAAGCACAGGAAUCCCUAAAAGAUAACCAUGCUUCCGCAUGUGCAUCUGUUUCAGUAGUUGUUCUUACAUGUCUCUGAAUGUAUUUAACAUAAUUAUAUGUGUUAUUGCACCAGGAUUCAUCAUUAUAGAACAGUCAAAAAAGUCUAUCCCACAGAGUGUGGAGAGGGGAUUUUGAGGAAUGCAUUGUAAUACUACCAGUACAUCAUCUGUUUUGCUCUAUUUCCCAUAGUAUGUUAUUUAAUUUAGCCUUGAUAAAGUACUGGGAGGCUUUAAACCAUGCUCUUAGUCAUGAAAAUGUUCACAAAGCAGAAAACAGAAAAUGUUUUCUGCAUGGAACAAAGGGAACAAAAGGCAAGAAUUAUACCUAAAAGUACCAGGCUACAGUGUGAACAGAUUUUAUUGGACAUUUGUAUAAAAUGUCAGAGCACUUCAUUCUGGAGUAAUUCUGUCCUUAUUGCUCAUUUUUCUUCCCCCUUCUACUUCAGAGCUUCUUUUUCAGUACUUUUUUUUUUUUUUUUUUUUUUUUUUUUUUUUUUUACUUUUGAAAUCUCUACUUCUUAAAGACCACUUUUGCAUCCGUGUUUUUUUUCUUUUCUUUUUUUCCCCAUGGUUUUAAAUCUACAUGUUCAGAAGUAAAUCCUGUGGCUCCUCCUGUUUCCCAGCUGUUUAGUGCUUCUCAUGCUACCUCCCUCUUGCCUGCUUAAAGAAAACACAGGGGGGAUGCUUAGGAACUGAGAAAAGGAAAAUAGUGAAUGGUUUAAAACACUGAGGAUCACAAUAGCCAGAAAAGUUGUGAGACAGAGGACAGAAUAGUUGAAGUUGAGGCAGCUUAUUUUUAGUCCUUCUUUUCCCAGCAGCUUGUUUGCUUCCUAUAACUGAGUCUGGAUUGCAGUAACAUCUCUACAAAGUAUUUCAGAACAGCCUAAUGUCCUAACAAGGAGUAUGUCCAGUUUUCCAUUUUCAAGAAGUUCAGGCACCCUGCAAGCAAAACUUGGCUCUGUAAAAAUCUCAGAAGCGGGCAAUUUUAACUAGCCUGAGAGAGAGGAGGUAAGAGUGAUCCUGUCUGUAGUCAGCCUUUGCAGCCUCAAAGUAUGGACAUCUUCAGCAUUAGAGGAGCGCAGAGAUAAGGGAGGCAUUGUUGCACAUAUAACACUUCCCAUUUUCCAUGCUGCUUCAGCUGUUAAAUUUUCAUCUGCCUGUAGAUGCUGAAAUAUAUCCACAAAUUGAAGACUCCUAUACCUCAAAUGAAACUAACAUAUAAAGGAUAAUGUUUUACAAGUGAAAUGAAUAGGUAGAGUCCGCACAAACACUGAUUUCCAGGUGAAUCCCGCAUAGCUGGGAAACAGAAGAUAUGAAGACACACAUGCUCACAGGUGGUCCAUGUGCUCAUGGAUUUCAUGAGGAGCAUCCCACUGGUUUCAGCAGGAGACAGAUUCCAACCCCUCGGCACAGUAAAACCACACAUUUCUUCCAUCAGUGGCAUGGAGCACUGGCAGGGACACAAACCCAGUUCCUGAGAUUCUGAGAAGACAACACUUGCUCAGCUUUGCAAAAGCCAUCUGGGAUCUUCAGAUAUAAGGACUGAAAUGUUACCUGUUUCAACCUGCAGGAAUAUUGCCACCAGGUUUGGGAAGGCCUGGAUUUCACCUAAAGCACUGCAAACAACAUGUUUACAUCUGCAUCUUAUUGAUCGCUUUUUGUUGGCCUGUUUGAAAAAAGUAACAGGAGAAUGGGGGGGGGAACCACACACACACAAAAAAAAAAAAAAAAAAGAAAGAAAAAGAGAAAAAAUAAAUGAAUUGCAGGGUGGAAGGAGUGGGAAAAGAGCUCGGUUGUGAGGGAGCCACAGCAAUACUACUAAAACAACUACUUUGUUUUAUAUUGGGUCUACUUCCAUGGCAUCUAACACCACAUGUAAAUGCUAAUACUCCCUGAAUGUUAUCACUUCAUGAAGGUUCAACAGCAAAGUGAUCUAAAAGACAGUGCUGUAAUGAAAUGCCAUGAGGUUAGGAACUGUCAGCACUCCAUCGCAAACCACCACAACACGCAAUGAACUGGGAAAUGAGCAAACUUUCUCCAAUAUAUACUAAGGUAGAAAGAAUAAAAGAUAUAUAAAUGAAUAUUCUGUUAUCUGCAGACAUCACUGUGGUGUUACAACACCAGACAAGAACACAGUGCGUCAGAAAUGACAAAUAAGGGAUCCCACUUUUCUGAUCCUUUUAUUGGGAAGAUGUAGUGAUUUCUGAAUCUCCACCCAGAUAAGGAAACUUCAGUCUAAAAAUUUUCUGUUCUAUGAAAUACUCAUAGUUAAAGGCACUUCCACCUUUAAAAAUACUGAAUUAAAUGCUUGCUCUGCAAAAUGCACCUACACUGUAUGCAAGGAUGUUGACCUCUCGCCAUCGCUUCCUAUGAGUUCACACAACGCAGCGGUGACACGGGGCCAUGGGGAAGCCCCCGCACUCUGCACGCACGUGUCACCUCCCGCACUCCUCCACCCCUGCACGGAGCAUCCCACACAGCUCCCGGCCUGGGCUGCUGGCGGGGCAGUCGCAGCUCAUGGUGGCAGCAGGAAGCGGCACAUCU
ensembl:lncRNA